GAUGAACGCUAGCGGCAGGCCUAAUACAUGCAAGUCGGACGGGAUUUGGGAGCUUGCUCCCAAUGAGAGUGGCGCACGGGUGCGUAACACGUAUGUAACCUACCUUAAUCAGGGGGAUAGCCUCUCGAAAGAGAGAUUAACACCGCAUAAUAUAUUUUUAUGGCAUCGUAGAAAUAUCAAAUAUUUAUAGGAUUAAGAUGGGCAUGCGGAACAUUAGCUAGUUGGUAAGGUAACGGCUUACCAAGGCUACGAUGUUUAGGGGAUCUGAGAGGAUGACCCCCCACACUGGUACUGAGACACGGACCAGACUCCUACGGGAGGCAGCAGUAAGGAAUAUUGGUCAAUGGGCGCAAGCCUGAACCAGCCAUGCCGCGUGCAGGAAGACGGCCCUAUGGGUUGUAAACUGCUUUUGUACCGGAAUAAACCCUUUUACGUGUAAAAGGCUGAAUGUACGGUAAGAAUAAGGAUCGGCUAACUCCGUGCCAGCAGCCGCUGUAA
rnacentral:rRNA from 1 species